rnacentral:rRNA from 1 species
GUACGGGAGGCAGCAGUGGGGAAUAUUGCGCAAUGGGGGAAACCCUGACGCAGCAACGCCGCGUGAAGGAUGAAGGUUUUCGGAUCGUAAACUUCUUUGAUGAGGGACGAAUAAUGACGGUACCUCAAAAACAAGCCACGGCUAACUACGUGCCAGCAGCCGCGGUAAUACGUAGGUGGCGAGCGUUGUCCGGAAUUACUGGGUGUAAAGGGCGUGUAGGCGGGGACUUAAGUCAGAUGUGAAAUACCCAGGCUCAACUUGGGAACUGCAUCUGAAACUAAGUUUCUUGAGUGUCGGAGAGGAAAGUGGAAUUCCCAGUGUAGCGGUGAAAUGCGUAGAUAUUGGGAGGAACACCAGUGGCGAAGGCGACUUUCUGGACGAUAACUGACGCUGAGGCGCGAAAGCGUGGGGAGCAAACAGGAUUAGAUACCCCGGUAGA